rnacentral:rRNA from 1 species
AAUAGAUACCCGGGUAGUCCACGCCGUAAACGGUGGGCACUAGGUGUGGGCGACAUUCCACGUCGUCCGUGCCGCAGCUAACGCAUUAAGUGCCCCGCCUGGGGAGUACGGCCGCAAGGCUAAAACUCAAAGGAAUUGACGGGGGCCCGCGCAAGCGGCGGAGCAUGUGGCUUAAUUCGACGCAACGCGAAGAACCUUACCAAGGCUUGACAUACACCGGAAACGUCCAGAGAUGGGCGCCCCCUUGUGGUCGGUGUACAGGUGGUGCAUGGCUGUCGUCAGCUCGUGUCGUGAGAUGUUGGGUUAAGUCCCGCAACGAGCGCAACCCUUGUCCCGUGUUGCCAGCAGGCCCUUGUGGUGCUGGGGACUCACGGGAGACCGCCGGGGUCAACUCGGAGGAAGGUGGGGACGACGUCAAGUCAUCAUGCCCCUUAUGUCUUGGGCUGCACACGUGCUACAAUGGCCGGUACAAUGAGCUGCGAUACCGCGAGGUGGAGCGAAUCUCAAAAAGCCGGUCUCAGUUCGGAUUGGGGU